UGGAGAAGAGAAAAUUCCAUUUUAUUCAACUGUUUGAAUGUAAUGUGUUUAGUUUUUAUCAUCUACUUUUAUUGAUGUGGACACCACAGGGAGACGGAUAUCAUGAAUGUUAUUCAAGUAGCUUGCAGCUCACGCUUGGGAAAUGAUCCAUCACUAACACUUCCAAAGCAGAUGACUCUGAAAUUAUAGUUUUGGGGGUGUGGGGGUGUGGGUGAAGGUUGCCUUUAAGCUUUCACUUUGCUGUCUCAGCUCCAGUGUAUCGGUGUAGCCCUCAUCCUGCAUGCAGUUUUUGACCUUUUUCAAUGCCCUACUCUUUCUGAGUCUGCUUUCAUCUCUGAAUAACGGCAACAGUUCACUUAGUUACUUAUAGAGAGAAGUUCCAUGCCAAAAAAAUUUGUCAGUGGAGCCCAAAGAGCACUGAAACCACAGUGGCUGUGGUUUACCUUCAGAUUCAUACACCUAAAUUUGCGUAUCUAAACAGGGCCAUCUGGAAUCUCUCUGAGUCCUAUCAGAUGAAAUGCACCUGGAGGCCUUUCCUGGGCUAAUGGCUUUCAGCAGGUUACUCAAGAAAAGACAAGGAACCUAAAUGUUGUCUAAAUAAUGUCUUGCUGUCUGGUGAGGAAGAGUGAGUUGCCUGAAGAAAAAGGGUUUUGUUAACUGAGAGAAGGCUGGGAGGAACUGUUGGACUGGACACUACUACGUAAUUAUGAAAGAAAGAGCAGCAUAUUACAGUAAUGCCAUGACUUUGAGGAAGAUGCUAUGUCCAACAGUAUCAGUUUCCAGGAAUGGAGGUGAUGAUAGUGGCCUGCAGAUAUUUAUCAACAAGUCAUUCCCAGACCACCUGGAAAGGUCCACUGGAGGGCACUGGGAGAGGCAUGACUCAGCAUGUUGUUUCCUAAAUCCUGGGAAACACUGGUGUUACGAUGAUGUUACAUUGGUCUUUCCUGGAAAGCACAUUUCAUUGGCAAGAACCCGACUGCAAGCUCCUCCAUGACAUUCUCCCAUACAACUGUCAACUUACUCCUUAAACCUUUCGAAGAACAUGCACCUUGGCUGCUGACUUGGACACAGCACAUAGCUACCCCAUCACCAG
ensembl:lncRNA